GUUAGCUUAUAGAUUACUCGGCCUGCGCGCCAUGUAGGCUUGGUAGUUUCUAGGGUCAACAUUUUGGCACGCCUAGUGGGACCCAGUGCUAGACUACGAAGUUCAUGCCAAUUGAAACACGAUCGGUAAAAAAGAAAACAGUUAUGGGAAAGUCGACAGCCGAUCUACCAAAUCAGAACGCAGGACACCAUGUGCCACAAGCGCAGAAUCCCAUUAGCGCCGUGACACCUGAG
rnacentral:lncRNA from 1 species